CAGUCGCCGCGGGAAUACAGAGGGUGCGAGCGUUAAUCGGAUUUACUGGGCGUAAAGCGUGCGUAGGCGGCUUCUUAAGUCGGAUGCGAAAUCCCUGAGCUUAACUUAGGAAUUGCAUUCGAUACUGGGAAGCUAGAGUAUGGGAGAGGAUGGUAGAAUUCCAGGUGUAGCGGUGAAAUGCGUAGAGAUCUGGAGGAAUACCGAUGGCGAAGGCAGCCAUCUGGCCUAAUACUGACGCUGAGGUACGAAAGCAUGGGGAGCAAACAGGAUUAGAUACCCGAGUAGUCCCUGUCUCUUAUAC
rnacentral:rRNA from 1 species